rnacentral:tRNA from 1 species
GGCUCGGUAGCUUAGUUGGAAAAGCACUUGUCUAGCGUAUAAGGGUAGUGAGUUCAAAUCUCACCUGAGCUG